GACCCGCGCUCCUAUGAGUUCCAUUUGUUGCGCCAAGAGGUUACCACAAGUUAUGUGUGUGGUGUGGUGUGUGUGUGUUUGCAAAGAAAAAUAAACAAAUACAUCAACAAGAACCUAUGCAAAAACCUCUCUUGGGUGGUCAAGCGAGUACUCUGGCUGUCUUAGCACCGAAAAUUCAGCAUGGUGUGGCAAAACACAGCACUCAAAGCAGGCUGGAGUGAGAUCAUAACCCUUUUGUUCUUUUGUUCCCGCCACCGCGCUGUUCUGUUGUUCGAUUAAAUUUUUCGGUGGGGCCCCUGCUCAAAUCAUAUCUACUUUAGGCUCAGCCCGGGGAGCGGGAAUCACAGAUUUUAAGAAUUAAGCGUAAAGUCAGGGUAGGCGAGGCAAGCAAAAAAUAAAAAUAAAAAUUAAAAAAGA
rnacentral:sRNA from 1 species